rnacentral:rRNA from 1 species
CCUACGGGAGGCAGCAGUGAGGAAUAUUGGUCAAUGGACGAGAGUCUGAACCAGCCAAGUAGCGUGAAGGAUGACUGCCCUAUGGGUUGUAAACUUCUUUUAUAUGGGAAUAAAACGUUCCACGUGUGGGAUUUUGUAUGUACCAUAUGAAUAAGGAUCGGCUAACUCCGUGCCAGCAGCCGCGGUAAUACGGAGGAUCCGAGCGUUCUCCGGAGUUAGUGGGUUUAAAGGGAGCGUAGGUGGAUUGUUAAGUCAGUUGUGAAAGUUUGCGGCUCAACCGGAAAAUUGCAGUUGACACGGGCAGUCUUGAGUACAGUGGCGGUCGGCGGCUUUCGUGGUGUAGCGGUGAAAUGCUUCGCUAUCACGAAGAACUCCGAUUGCGACUGCAGUUCACUGGACUGCACCUGCCACUGCGGCUCGAAAGUGUGGGUAUCAAACAGGAUUAGAUACCCCAGUAGUC